rnacentral:rRNA from 1 species
GACGAACGCUGGCGGCGUGCCUAAUACAUGCAAGUUGAGCGAUGAAGCUUGGUGCUUGCACCAAUUUGAAGAGCAGCGAACGGGUGAGUAACGCGUGGGGAAUCUGCCUUUGAGCGGGGGACAACAUUUGGAAACGAAUGCUAAUACCGCAUAAUAACUUUAAACAUAAGUUUUAAGUUUGAAAGAUGCAAUUGCAUCACUCAAAGAUGAUCCCGCGUUGUAUUAGCUAGUUGGUGAGGUAAAGGCUCACCAAGGCGAUGAUACAUAGCCGACCUGAGAGGGUGAGCGGCCACAUUGGGACUGAGACACGGCCCAAACUCCUACGGGAGGCAGCAGUAGGGAAUCUUCGGCAAUAGACGGAAGUCUGACCGAGCAACGCCGCGUGAGUGAAGAAGGUUUUCGGAUCGUAAAACUCUGUUGGUAGGGAAGAACGUUGGUGAGAGUGGAAAGCUCAUCAAGUGACGGUAACUACCCAGAAAGGGACGGCUAACUACGUG